rnacentral:rRNA from 1 species
CCCUGGUAGUCCAUGCCGUAAACGUUGGGCACUAGGUGUGGGGGACAUUCCACGUUUUCCGCGCCGUAGCUAACGCAUUAAGUGCCCCGCCUGGGGAGUACGGCCGCAAGGCUAAAACUCAAAGGAAUUGACGGGGGCCCGCACAAGCGGCGGAGCAUGCGGAUUAAUUCGAUGCAACGCGAAGAACCUUACCAAGGCUUGACAUGAACCGGAAAGACCUGGAAACAGGUCCCCCACUUGUGGUCGGUUUACAGGUGGUGCAUGGUUGUCGUCAGCUCGUGUCGUGAGAUGUUGGGUUAAGUCCCGCAACGAGCGCAACCCUCGUUCUAUGUUGCCAGCACGUGAUGGUGGGAC